GGUCAAGCGAACAAGUGCAUGUGGUGGAUGCCUUGGCGAUCACAGGCGAUGAAGGACGCGGUAGCCUGCGAAAAGCUACGGGGAGCUGGCAAACGAGCUUUGAUCCGUAGAUAUCCGAAUGGGGAAACCCGGCCCUUUUGGGUCAUCCUGGACUGAAUACAUAGGUCCAGAGAAGCGAACGCGGUGAACUGAAACAUCUAAGUAACCGCAGGAAAAGAAAUCAACCGAGAUUCCCAAAGUAGUGGCGAGCGAAAUGGGAUGAGCCUUGCACUCUUUAUUUGUAUUGUUAGCCGAACGCUCUGGAAAGUGCGGCCAUAGCAGGUGAUAGCCCUGUAGGCGAAAACAGUAUGAAAGAACUAGGUGUGCGACAAGUAGGGCGGGACACGUGAAAUCCUGUCUGAAGAUGGGGGGACCAUCCUCCAAGGCUAAAUACUCGUGAUCGACCGAUAGUGAACCAGUACCGUGAGGGAAAGGCGAAAAGAACCCCGGGAGGGGAGUGAAAUAGAUCCUGAAACCGCAUGCAUACAAACAGUCGGAGCCUCG
rnacentral:rRNA from 1 species